rnacentral:rRNA from 1 species
AACGAACGCUGGCGGCAGGCUUAACACAUGCAAGUCGAGCGCCCCGCAAGGGGAGCGGCAGACGGGUGAGUAACGCGUGGGAAUCUACCGAGCCCUAAGGAAUAGCUCCGGGAAACUGGAAUUAAUACCUUAUACGCCCUUCGGGGGAAAGAUUUAUCGGGGUUUGAUGAGCCCGCGUUGGAUUAGCUAGUUGGUGGGGUAAAGGCCUACCAAGGCGACGAUCCAUAGCUGGUCUGAGAGGAUGAUCAGCCACAUUGGGACUGAGACACGGCCCAAACUCCUACGGGAGGCAGCAGUGGGGAAUAUUGGACAAUGGGCGCAAGCCUGAUCCAGCCAUGCCGCGUGAGUGAUGAAGGCCCUAGGGUUGUAAAGCUCUUUCACCGGUGAAGAUAAUGACGGUAACCGGAGAAGAAGCCCCGGCUAACUUCGUGCCAGCAGCCGCGGUAAGAC